CCUACGGGGGGCAGCAGUGGGGAAUAUUGCGCAAUGGGCGAAAGCCUGACGCAGCGACGCCGCGUGAGGGAUGAAGGUCUUCGGAUCGUAAACCUCUGUCAGCAGGGAAGAACGGUCACUGUGCUAAUCAGCAGUGAAUUGACGGUACCUGCAAAGGAAGCACCGGCUAACUCCGUGCCAGCAGCCGCGGUAAUACGGAGGGUGCGAGCGUUAAUCGGAAUUACUGGGCGUAAAGCGCUCGUAGGCGGUAUGUCAAGUCAAGGGUGAAAUCCCCGCGCUCAACGUGGGAACUGCCUUUGAAACUGGCAAACUGGAGUGUGUGAGAGGAGAGUGGAAUUCCAGGGGUAGGAGUGAAAUCCGUAGAUAUCUGGAGGAACAUCAGUGGCGAAGGCGACUAUCUGGAACAUAACUGACGCUGAGGAGCGAAAGCGUGGGUAGCAAACAGGAUUAGAUACCCGAGUAGUC
rnacentral:rRNA from 1 species